UCUAUGAGAAGCGAAGCCCACAACGCGACCCCAGGUCAGGC
rnacentral:rRNA from 1 species